UCCUCACCUCCGCCGAUCCUAACGAGCUUUGAUUUGUGCUUCUCUCCUCUCCUCCGCUCCUUCUGCUGUUAAGGCCAGUAAUAAGCCUUUGAAAGGUAAGAGGGAGCCUGAAGAUGAUGUUGAUACUAAAGUGAGUCUUAAGAAGCAGAAGGAAGACGUGAUUGCUGCUGUACAAAAGUAAAAAGCUGUGAAGAAGGUGACUAAGAAGGUUGAGAGCUCUGAUUCAUCAGAUUCUGAAUCUGAGGAAGAUGAGAAGGCUAAGAAAGUUCCAGCCAAGAAGGCUGCAACCAAGAAGCAUGCUGCGGCUGCUGCUAAAAAGGCCAAGGUCUGAGAGUUCGUCUGAAGAUGAUUCAUCCUCUGAUGAGGACUCAGAUGAUGAUUCUGAGGAUGAGGUGAUAAAUUUUUCUGUUUGUUGAUCACU